AUGGUCUCUAUUUGGGACGGUUAAAGGUCACAAAGGUCAAAAGUAAUAUUGGGUCAAUUUAAUAAUCGUCUGAAGAAACACACGUCAAGAAACAGAUUCUCGAUCUCUAUAGCUCUUUGCUGGUCAUUUAAUAAAAAUCAAUAAAUAUGGCUGGUGGUGGUGAUCCUGCAGCAGCUGCAGCAUUGAGGGGCUGGCAAGUCUAUUUUAACACUGUUACAGUGGCAGGAAGAAGAAAUCUUGUCCUGGCAACAUGGGGGACGGUGAUUGGACUUUACUCUCUUGUGAAGUGGAGGAAGAACGCCAAAGCUAGAAAAGCUUUGAAAGCUGCCUAAAAAACCUCACUAGAACAUCAGUGUACACAUGUAGACAUUAAUUAGUAGUAUAAUUAUGUGACUGUAAUGUUGUGGUUCAUAAGUAUAGUGUCUGGAAA